GAUUGAAACUUCCAAAGGCGACGUUACUCGAGCAACAUACUUCCCUGGACUUCCCACGUUCUUCACCUUUCGAUUCAUCGUCACAGGGCCUGUUUUCAAAUCCGCGACUGAGAUGGAUGGAUAAUUGAGCCUCGAGCGCACAAGAAAUUUAGGUAAUCGUCCAUUGUAAUGUCGUAAACGAGGCCAGGGUCCAUGGCGCUGUUUGGAUGAACAUGUCCUGCGCCGUAUGCUAAUGGAGUUGCUAUCACUCCGUCGAGGUCGACAAUUGGAUGGUUUUGAGAAGGCCUACAAUGCCAGAAACAUGGGGGCAAGACAUGGAUGUGCCAGAGUAUACCAUAAAAGGAACUCGACGAUCAUCAACGGGCAGAUUUGCCAAUGGUAUUCCAUCAGGGAUCUGGUCCUAAGUUUCCAGCGGAACAAACAACAACGAUGCCAUGCUGAACUGCAUGAAAGGCCCCUAUACAUAGCCCAUCGUCUAGGAAGUCU